UCUGACAAGCACAAUUUACAUCGAGCUCGCCCUGCGCUGCUAUUUACUCUGAAACCUGAUUAGUAUGGGUCGCUAUUGUCACAAAAGAGGAAGAAACCCUGGACAGAAUAGCCAAAAAGAGGGGUAAAAGAGGGGGACAUAGCUCGGUGCACGUGAAAUAAACAAACGUGCGAGGGUGAAAGGACUCGAGUCGAGUCCCUCAAAGUUUGAGACGGUUUGUUUGAAGCUGCUGUCUUAAUUAUAGCCUAAAUGCUAAUGUGACUGACAGUAUCAGUGCCCUGUUCUCUAAUUUUACAAUAUGAAGAAAUACGUGUGAUAACACGCAGCGCAUGUAAACCACUUUUCAUACCAAUGCAGAGGAGAACAUAGCGCAAUGUAAACGAAGAGCAUUUAUGUGAAAACAUCUAUAUUGCAAAAAAAAAAAAAAAAAACGAUCGCUUAAUACAGAACCAGCCUUAAUAAUAGUGGCCGAUUCUGAUUACAGCGAGACGGAAACACACAGCUUGAAACCCGACAGAGAUAUUGGAAUUGGUAAUGCAUAGCAAGAAUACAACGCGGAUGCCAUGUUAUGUUGCUAUUAUUACAGUAAUUCCAAAAUUAAGUUAAGUUGCUUGAAAAUUGCGCGGGGAAUCCGACUGUCUGUAUCGAGACAGAGAAGCCUGCGCCGAACAGACUUAAAAUGUCUGGAUCGGACUGCCAUCUAGCGUACAGUAGACAAUUACAGAGGCACAGUGCUGUAUAAUGUAUUGUAAUCAAGUACCUUUUAAAGAAAUGUUAUAAAAAUGCAGAUGCAUAUGGAUUUUUUAUCAGCACUAUUGCGAUUGUUGACGUAGUGUGCAAUAAAGCAAAAUUCUCAUCUUGCUAAUUUGCAACCAUUUUUGCAGAAUAAAUUUCCCGAACAAAAAAGUUUUUCAUAAAACACAUUCUGCUUCUGUAUGAAAGAAAAGUAUGUUGCGUUAAGAUGUACACCAAUAAUCGUGUUGACGUGCGUAUAUAUUCUUAUACGUACAAACAUGAUGUCAAAUGUGCCAAUGCGUCCCUUUUCAACUCAUAAGUUCAGCAGCGUAAUAGUUUUAUAACACAAAUGGUUCCAGAGCUGAACGGUCAGGGUUAGUGCGGGUUUAUAGUUGGUAUUACUUCGUAAAUGCAAUGUACAAAUAGCAAAGAGGCAGCAUUACAAUAGGAUGCAAAUGUCGAAGCAGUGCCCCAGUAAAUGCAGUUCUUGGGGGGAUGUCUGUUUUUGACUAUUCAGCAACGGCGCUUUUCGCGUUCCUCUCCCCGCUGCUCCAAAUAAACUCUCGGUCAUGUCUUCUGCUUCUUGAAAAGGUGAAACGAAUAAGAUUAAAUCAGACAAAGGGAAAGUUCUGUAAGUGUAUCAUCAAGAUUUUACUCCACAGAUUGCGAAGAGAGCGCGAAGGAGAGAGAGGGAGAGGGAAUAGCGAAUGAGAGAAGAGGGAAGAAAGCUUGCACGAAAACAGCGAGGCAGAAGAGGGAAAGUGGACACUAGGACAUUUAAAGAAGAAGCAGCCAUGGAAAGCUGUGAUGGGUGGAUGGCAGAUAGAAACAUCAGAAUUAAACCUAUUUCCGUCUGGGGAUAAUCUCGUGCAUGGUAAAGGUCUUUUAAGGUGAGUCCUAUUGGCAACGUGUGCAUGCCAUGUGCUCAUGCAUACACAGAUUUUUAGAUACAUGCUCUGUAAAAAAUGUGGCACAACCAGCUGCUCAUUGCUCAUUGGCUCACUCACAAAGCUGGCAUCAUCAUCAUCAUCCAGUCACAAUUCAGAACAGCCCGAUGAAGCAGAAAUCUGAUAUGCAAGGUCGCCGGGUGCACAGCAAAUAGUAAUUAUUCCCCAUUUACUUUUAAAAAUGACCCAUUAAACAUAAGUACAUAAGGGCCAUCACUGUGGUCAGUGUCAAAUUCUGCUUAUGGUUCGACUGAAGUACGUUGCACGUGCACUCAUUUUUUUCUCAACAGGUUUUUGCAAAAAUUUUUUUUACCUUUUCCAAUGUGGAGUUUCCAUGCAUGUUGCCCGUGCACCUGUCCCGUUAUCCCUGUAUCCCCCUGUCAAUUCCGGGAGUGCCCUGUGGGGCGAGCGCUCUUGUCCUCGCAGACGUGGCGGUGCGCAGUUUUUUUUUCACCCUGCAGCUCGCUAGCUGUGCCGCGCGGUCAUCGCACCGGGGUACCGAGUCACACGUCUGCAGCUGGCGCCGGCCAAUCGUCGCUCAGUAAACAGGGUGAGGCUACGGGCAGCUGUACGGCGUCCCGCUCGCCAGCCUGUCGCAGUCGACGCUGGCAGGAUUCGGACCGCGGGGCUGACCCCCACAGCCAGGACCAGUGCUUUAGCUGGGCCUGCCCCCGGGGAAACCCAAGCACGAUGUAACCGUGAUGUAAAUCUCUCUGCGGUCGUCGGAAAGUUACGCUCGGUGCUCUUCUGGGUCAUGUGAGGCGAACGUGAUUCAGCGCAUCAUUCAAAGUCAAACCAGAUCAGUGUGUCUGCAUCUUUUUUUUUUUUUGCUUGGGGAUAAUUAAAAAAUAAUCACACAAAAAAUCUAAAAUUGUAGAUGGAACUGUUAUUAAUUCAGUUAAUGACACGCAGAUAUCAAGAAACAACAAAUCGGACUCCGCGUGUACAGGAAUGGGAAUUAUUUUCGAACGGAACAAUUCGAUUGAAUCUUUCAUUCACUCUCUGACAAUUAAGGUGAAGCAUGUAGACAUUUCAUGUUUAUAUGCAAAGAAGAAACCUGUUUCUUUAAGCCAAGCUUUAUUCUGACGCUCAGUGGGAAUGAAAAUAACAACAAUAAACUCUCUACCCCAGCGGUAACUGUACUCA